rnacentral:rRNA from 1 species
GACGAACGCUGGCGGCGUGCCUAACACAUGCAAGUGGAGCGACGAACCAGGCUUCGGCCUGGGGCCAAGCCGCGAACGGGUGAGUAACACGUGGGUAACCUGCCCCGAUGACCGGGACAACCCGAGGAAACUCGGGCUAAUACCGGAUGUGCUCUGCCGACACAGGUCGGCUCGAGUAAAGGAAGCUUCGGCCUCCGCGUCGGGAGGGGCCCGCGGCCCAUUAGCUAGUUGGUGGGGUAACGGCUCACCAAGGCUGCGAUGGGUAGCUGGUCUGAGAGGACGAUCAGCCACACUGGGACUGAGACACGGCCCAGACUCCUACGGGAGGCAGCAGUGGGGAAUCUUGCGCAAUGCGCGAAAGCGUGACGCAGCAACGCCGCGUGGGGGAAGAAGGCCUUCGGGUUGUAAACCCCUUUCAGGAGGGACGAAGGUACGGCGGCGAACAGCUUGCCGUGCUGACGGUACCUCCACAAGAAGCCCCGGCUAACUACGUGCCAGCCGCCGCAGUAAUAC